GAUGAACGCUGGCGGCGUGCCUAAUACAUGCAAGUCGAACGAUGCGGGGACGGGUGAGUACCACGUAGAUAAACUCCUUUAAGACUGCGAUAACGUCGGGAAACCCGAGCUAAACCGGCUACUUAUAUAUGGAUCCGCGGUGCAUUAGCUAGUUGGUAAGGUAACGGCGUACCAAGGCAACGAUGCAUAGCCGACCUGAGAGGGUGAUCGGCCACACUGGGACUGAGACACGGUCCAGACUCCUACGGGAGGCAGCAGUAGGGAAUCUUCCGCAAUGGGCGAAAGCCUGACGGAGCAACGCCGCGUGAGUGAUGAAGGUCUUCGGAUCGUAAAACUCUGUUAUUAGGGAAGCGGUACCUAACCAGAAAGCCACGGCUAACUACGUGCCAGCAGCCGCGGUAAUUC
rnacentral:rRNA from 1 species